GACCUGGGCCAUUUCACCAAAGGAUGGGCACCACUGCAGGUCCCAGUUGUCCAGACCUGAAAGGGCGAGUGGUGCAGUUCAGGACAAAUCUGUCACAGACAGACAGCAAG
rnacentral:lncRNA from 1 species